rnacentral:lncRNA from 1 species
UUUAAGGAGUCACUUUUUGAUAUCAAUUGAUUUUCUCAGCCGACAAAGUUACGAAAUAAGGACGAAUUGGAAUACGUUUUCAUCAUUCUUUUUAUUCACUCAACUAUUCAAGAAUGUCGGAACGAUUCGGGAUGACAACUGAAGCGAUUACGACGAGCAUGAGUGGCUAAAUGACUCGUGACUUCCGCCUGGACGAACGUUUGCCUGGUUUGAUAAAAUAUACAUUCAAAGUAUACAACCGUUGACCGACUCCCCAUCCAUUCAGCUUAGCAUAUUAAACACUGCAACCCCCACAGGAAAUUACUUCAUAAUUACCAUUUUCAAGACUGAUUCAAAUUAGUACUGUUUGCUUGAGCUGUCUUAAAAAUUGGCAUUUUUUGUUUUCAAGCUUUUGGUUGCUUGAGUUGUGCUCGGUUGACAAGUUGUCUAGGCUGUUAGCUUGAGGGGAAUGGAACGCACCCUCCCCGUGAUCCUCCUUUGGUUUGUUUUCGGGUUUUUUAAUUUCUUAAGAGUUUGUGGGAAUGCUGAAGGUAUGUGCACUCAAAUGUUUUUAAUACUCAAGGGCAAACUAGGUAACAUAAAUAUAUUAUCUGCUCCUAAACUAUGCAAUAUAAGAAAUAAUUGCCUUUGUUCAUAGUUCUCAACUCUCCAUAGACCGAUGUGCCCCACUUAUAAGGUGUCACGGAUAUUUUAUUUUGUCGACGCUCUUGGUUUAGAAAAUUGUCCCUCG